CCGGAUCCAGCCGCCGCCGGUCCUCCAACGACCGGAUCCGUGGCGGGGCCAGCCUCCGGUGCCUCCGCGGGCUCCACGCUGCCUGGACCAGCGCCGCCUCGUCCGGAUCUGCCGCCACCGGCCCUCCUCCGCCUCGUGCCGACGCGCGGGAGGUACACGGAGCGCACCUCCGCCGCCGCCAGGACCGUCGCCGAGGUCGUGCGUGCGUGCCACGCCCAGGGGUCAUGCACCGGGACCUCAAGCCCGAGAAGUUCCUGUACGCGGGCAAGAGCCCAGACGCACGACUCAAGGCCAUCGACUUCGGCCUCUCCGUCUUCUUCAGACUAGCUUUUAGUGGCUUUAAAAGUUCGCUACCCUCACAGGAUCACCAUUCUCAGAGGGAACCAUGAAAGACGACAGAUUACUCAAGUUUAUGGAUUCUAUGAUGAGUGUCUAAGGAGUAA